rnacentral:lncRNA from 1 species
UUUUUAGUGAUACUGUUCUUUGUUUUAAAUAACGCAGGUUUCACACGUUGACAGAUUUCAGGCUGGUUCUGCUGGGUUAGAAGGUGAUGCACGGGUUCCAAUUAUCAAUUGUUUCUACAUAUAUAUACUGAUGUGUUCUCCGUCUAAUUUCCCAUGCCCAAACUCUCCAGUUGUACUCGAUAUGAAACUACUUGGAUGGACCAGCAUACAAGAAUUUCUAAGAAAGUCAUAGCAGCGCUCCUCUCAUGCUUUGGAGAAAGUGUACGUUAAUCUUGAGAUUUGUAUCUUUAGUUCUUUGAUUUACUUCUAAACAUGUUACAUUCACUGAUUGCUCUGCCCACGUACAGGAACCGUAUGAUCUUCAUGUUAUUUGUGUCAACCAUAAUGUGUCUGGCCCAUGGCCCUGUGUACUGCACCGAUGCUGACAAACCCAUUUUCAUAUUCCAUCACAUUCAUGUUAAUUUUCUGACAAGACCAAGGGAUGGAAAUCCAAAACUCCUAAAUAUACUCAUGAGAUGCAAAUCACGUGGAUCAACCUUGUGAAGGAACACCAACAACACAAUCGAUUUCACAUAAGGUAAGAUGCAGGCUUUGGAUUUUCAGUAAGAAAUUUUGUAAGGCGACUCCAGGACCAACAGAACCGAUGGUAUAGUGAAAUACAUCUACUAAUCAAAACUACCUAUUACAUGUCUCGAUUCAUACUCCCUCCGUCCGAAAAUACUUGUCAUCAAAAUGGAUAAAAAGGAAUGUAUCUAGAACUAAAAUACAUCUAGAUACAUCCCAUUUUAUUCAUUUUGAUGACAAGUAUUUCCGGACGGAGAGAGUACAUACUAACCACCAGCACGCUGGAAGAAGAUAACAUGCUUCCUAAUUUCCUGAUCGCCAGCUCGGCCUUGGUCGCUGUUGGCAAUUGGUUAUCUUGUCAGUAUUUCACAAUUAGGAUUAUGCAUUCCCAUGCUUCUCUUAGCUUGAUGCUCAUUCCCGUACUAUUUUAUUCAACUAGACGGAUGUGUUUCUUGCCCUGUUCUGAAUCUCUCUAAUUCUUGUGUGUAAGUGGAUAUGUAUAUGUUUUUAUUAUUUAAUAUCUGUUAAAAACGUAAAAUAUUAUGAUACAUACUUAUAAAUUUAGUUCAGUUAAAAUUUUCCAAGUUUUAUUUAAAUAGAAGUGUUCAUAUCCUCAUAUCUCAUUUUUUAGGCUGCAAAAAUUGUAAUUUAUGGGGAAGUUGUGGUGCAGCCAACCAAAGGCGUGGAUGUUGCCAGCGGCCACAAGGAUAUCUAAUUAUGUCAUUUUUGUUGGCAUAAUCUGGUUGCUGCAGCCAGUGAACUAUGAGAGACUUUGAGCACUCGAAAGCAACUAACCAAAUUUAAGAUUCACAAACAAUGAAGAUUUCGUUGGUGCACUAUAUAUGUAUACUGGUAUAUGUUUAUUUCAUAUUUGUGUUGUUGCUUAUUAUCGGUCUUGAAGAUACAGAUUAGCUAUAUUUACCAAGUGCACACUUAUACCAAAGCCCAUGUGUACAUAUGAUAUUUCUCUCCAUUACUGACUAAUAGACGUUUCUGUUUGUGCAAACUUAUAUAUUUCAUGAAUUCAUAUAUUUAUU